UACGUAGGGGCGAGCGUUGUCCGGAAUUAUUGGGCGUAAAGGGCACGCAGGCGGUCUGCCAAGUUCGGGGUGAAAGUCACCAGCUUAACUGGUGAAGGACUUCGAAAACUGGCGGACUUGAGAGCGAGAGAGGGACAUGGAACUCCGGGUGGAGCGGUGAAAUGCGUAGAGACCCGGAAGAACACCAAAGGCGAAGGCAGUGUCCUGGCUCGUGUCUGACGCUGAGGUGCGAAAGCUAGGGGAGCGAACGGG
rnacentral:rRNA from 1 species